rnacentral:rRNA from 1 species
UACGUAGGGUCCGAGCGUUGUCCGGAUUUAUUGGGCGUAAAGAGCUCGUAGGCGGCUUGCUAAGUCAGGUGUGAAACCUCCAGGCUCAACCUGGAGCCGCCACCUGAUACUGGUAUGGCUAGAGUCCGGUAGGGGACCACGGAAUUCCUGGUGUAGCGGUGAAAUGCGCAGAUAUCAGGAGGAACACCGGUGGCGAAGGCGGCAUCCUGGACCGGUAUUGACGCUGAGGCGCGAAAGCUAGGGGAGCACACGGG